UUACCUACUACUAUCCUAUCCUAUCCCAUGUGCUUUUUUCUCUCCUUUAUAAAUUACUGAUACCAAUACCAAUGAGCAAGAUUGAGAUACCAGACAUAUAAUAGAUAAACAAGACAGGGAAAUGGUGAACUUACUCAGUGACAAAUGGGAGCUGAAGUCGAAGCACUCGACUACGGAGGCGCUGCAGCGCUGGCGCGAUCUCUGCGUCUUCGUGAAAAACCCCAAGCGACGGUUCAGAUUCACCGCCAAUCUAUCCAUGCGGCAUCAGGCCGCAGCUAUGCAAAACACCAUUCAGGAAAACAUGAGAAUAGCAGUUCUUGUGUCGAAAGCAGCAUUUUACUUCGUAAAUCCCUCACAACCAAAUGAGUACAACAUACCUAAAGAAGUCGAAGCUGCCGGUUUCCGGAUUUGUGCAGACGAAGUAGGAUCCAUAGUGGAGAAACAUGACAUCAAGAAGCUCAAAUAUCAUGGAGGGGUAACCGGCCUAGCCGGAAAGCUUGCCACAGACGUCGUCAAUGGCAUUUCCACUGAUGGCGAAGCACUGACCUGCAGGCAGGAGAUAUUUGGGAUUAAUAAAUUUGAAGAAAGAGAGGCUAAGGGCUAUUGGGUGUUCGUAUGGGAAGCGCUUCACGAUAUGACUCUAAUGAUCCUCAUUGUGUGCGCUUUAGUCUCUCUGGUUGUCGGCAUAGCAACAGAAGGAUGGCCGGAGGGCGCUCAUGAUGGUCUCGGGAUCGUCGCGAGCAUAUUGCUCGUGGUGAUUGUCACUGCCACAAGUGAUUAUAGACAGUCAUUACAGUUCAUGGAUUUGGAUAAAGAAAAGAAGAAAAUCUCUAUUCAAGUGGUGAGGGAUGGUUACCGGCAGAAGAUGUCCAUCUACGAGCUGCUACCGGGAGACAUCGUGCAUCUUGCUAUCGGAGAUCAAGUACCUGCCGAUGGACUUUUCCUGUCGGGAUUUUCAGUUCUGAUUGACGAAUCGAGUCUGACAGGAGAAAGUGAGCCGAUCCUGGUGAAUGCAGAAUAUCCUUUUCUGAUGUCGGGAACCAAGGUCCAAGAUGGUUCUUGCAAGAUGAUGGUUACCACUGUCGGGAUGAGAACACAGUGGGGGAAACUGUUGGCCACGCUCAGCGAAGGAGGAGAAGACGAAACUCCACUUCAAGUUAAAUUAAAUGGUGUGGCGACCUUUAUUGGAAAGAUCGGCAUUGUCUUUGCUCUUGUGACAUUUGCUGUUUUAGUGCAGCGGAUCUUCGCGAGCAAAUGGCAAGCAGGGAUGAUGCUGAGCUGGUCGGGAGAUGAUGCGUUGGAACUGUUGGAGUAUUUCGCCAUUGCUGUCACCAUUGUUGUUGUGGCAGUACCUGAAGGGCUCCCUCUAGCUGUGACCUUGAGCCUUGCAUUCGCCAUGAAGAAAAUGAUGAAUGACAAAGCACUCGUGCGCCACUUGGCGGCGUGUGAGACUAUGGGAUCAGCGACGAGCAUCUGCAGCGACAAAACUGGGACACUAACAACAAAUCAUAUGACAGUGGUGAAAUCAUGUGUUUGCAUGAAAGUGAAGGAGCUGACCGAACCUGAGAGUGGUUCUACUCUGCACUCCGAGCUUCCGAAAUCUGUUGUUGAGAUACUGAUGCAAUCUAUCUUCAACAACACUGCAGGAGAAGUGGUGGUUAACAAGGAUGGGAAGCGCGAAAUUCUGGGAACGCCGACUGAGGCAGCUAUUUUGGAGUUUGGUAUGUCGUUGGGAGGGAACUUCCAUGUCGAACGGCGAAAAUCUAAACUGGUGAAAGUGGAGCCGUUUAACUCGACAAAGAAGCGAAUGGGAGUCGUGUUGGAGCUUCAUGGAGGAGGUUUGAGGGCUCACACCAAAGGUGCCUCGGAGAUAAUUCUUGCUGCCUGUAACAAGUUCAUCAAUUCAAAUGGUGAAAUUGUUCCCCUUGAUGAAAAUUCUUUCAACCAUUUGAAGGGAACUAUCGAGCAGUUUGCCUGUGAGGCUCUUAGAACUCUUUGCCUUGCUUAUAUGGACCUUGAAAACGGCUUCUGUGGAGACGACAUUCCAGCCUCAGGAUACACUUGUAUAGGAAUUGUGGGAAUCAAAGAUCCUGUACGUCCUGGAGUGAGGGAAUCAGUUGCACUUUGCCGAUCAGCUGGAAUUACUAUCAGAAUGGUUACUGGAGACAACAUUCACACUGCAAAAGCUAUCGCUAGAGAAUGUGGUAUACUCACUGAUGAUGGUGUAGCCAUAGAAGGUCCAGACUUUCGUGAGAAGAGCUUGGAGGAAUUGCACGAGUUGAUUCCGAAGAUCCAGGUGAUGGCGCGUUCUUCCCCAUUGGAUAAGCAUACGUUGGUGAAGCACCUGCGAACCACGUUCAAUGAAGUUGUUGCUGUGACUGGUGAUGGGACCAAUGAUGCUCCAGCACUUCAUGAAGCAGAUAUUGGACUUGCUAUGGGAAUCGCCGGCACUGAGGUAGCCAAAGAGAGCGCUGAUGUUAUUAUUCUCGAUGACAACUUCUCCACAAUUGCGACUGUAGCAAAAUGGGGGCGCUCAGUCUACGUAAACAUCCAAAAGUUUGUGCAGUUCCAGCUUACUGUUAACAUUGUUGCAUUGGUGGUGAACUUCUCCUCAGCUUGUUUAACUGGCAGUGCUCCCCUAACUGCUGUUCAGCUUCUGUGGGUCAACAUGAUUAUGGAUACGCUUGGUGCACUUGCAUUAGCAACUGAGCCUCCAAACGAGGAACUAAUGAAGAAACCACCUGUUGGAAGGAAAGGAAACUUCAUCAGUUCUGUGAUGUGGAGGAACAUCUUGGGACAAUCCUUUUACCAAUUUCUUGUGUUAGGGUCACUACAAGCUUAUGGAAAAACAUAUUUCGGACUUUAUGGCAUCCCUGACAGUGACUUGGUCCUUAACACAAUAAUCUUCAAUACAUUUGUCUUCUGCCAGCUCUUCAAUGAAGUGAAUUCCCGGGAAAUGCAGAAAAUAAACGUGCUCAAAGGAAUCUUAAACAGCUAUGUAUUUGUGUCGGUUCUUGGUUCCACAGUCCUCUUCCAGAUAAUAAUUGUCGAAUUCCUUGGGACAUUUGCAAACACGACACCUCUAACACUGACGCAGUGGCUCGCCAGCAUAUUUAUUGGAUUCUUAAGCAUGCCGAUUGCUGCAGCCUUGAAGAGAUAUUUCCCCUUGUCCAAUUGAUGAUGCUUUUGUGAAACAUCCUUAGCUCGAAGCAGCCCUGAUAUUUUGGAAGCUUUGGUCUAUAUAAUUCCGACAGAAGCAGAGCUCUGAGCUAAAAUCAAAACCAAAAAUCAAGUCAUCUUUAGUCACAACAAGGGUUGAUACAUGAAAUACAUAUAGAUGAUACGAAAUGGCAAACCAUGAAUGACGAGCAUAUAUUGAUUUACGAAAGUUGAAAUCAUCAGCAGAGUUAAUUUCCAAGAGAAGCCUUUCAGGUUUCGCAAAGCAAUUUGUCAUCAGAAUCCUCUCCGGUGAUAGCUCAUGUUGCCAAAUUAAACGCAUCUUGACGUGAUCGCAGCUAGAAUCGAGGAGCAUCAUAGUUUAUGCUCACGUUUCCAGCGAUUAAUACACCGUAAAUUAAAAUACAGUCACACCGAGAUGUGC